GUUGGUGUAUCUCAGUGGUAGAGUACAUGCUUUGUAUACUAUGAUGUCCUGGAUUCAAUCCACAGCUUCUCCA